rnacentral:rRNA from 1 species
AACGAACGCUGGCGGCAUGCCUAACACAUGCAAGUCGAACGAGACCUUCGGGUCUAGUGGCGCACGGGUGCGUAACGCGUGGGAACCUGCCCUUAGGUUCGGAAUAACUCCCCGAAAGGGGUGCUAAUACCGGAUAAUGUCUUCGGACCAAAGAUUUAUCGCCUUUGGAUGGGCCCGCGUUGGAUUAGCUGGUUGGUAGGGUAAAAGCCUACCAAGGCGACGAUCCAUAGCUGGUCUGAGAGGAUGAUCAGCCACACUGGGACUGAGACACGGCCCAGACUCCUACGGGAGGCAGCAGUGGGGAAUAUAGGACAAUGGGCGGAAGGCUGAUCCAGCAAUGCCGCGUGAGUGAUGAAGGCCUUAGGGUUGUAAAGCUCUUUUACCCGGGAUGAUAAUGACGGUACCGGGAGAAUAAGCACCGGCUAACUCCGUG